UACGUAGGGUGCAAGCGUUAAUCGGAAUUACUGGGCGUAAAGCGUGCGCAGGCGGCUUUGCAAGACAGAUGUGAAAUCCCCGGGCUCAACCUGGGAACUGCAUUUGUGACUGCAAGGCUAGAGUGCGGUAGAGGGGAUGGAAUUCCGCGUGUAGCAGUGAAAUGCGUAGAUAUGCGGAGGAACACCGAUGGCGAAGGCAGCUUGCUGGGACGGUACUGACGCUGAGGCGCGAAAGCGUGGGGAGCAAACAGG
rnacentral:rRNA from 1 species